ACGCUACUGCACUCCAGCCUGGGCGACACAGUGAGACUCUGUCUCAAAAAAAAUAAAAAUAAAAAUAAAAAAAGAGAGAGUGGACAAAAAAGGGGUCAUAAAGGCAGGAAAAGGAUAAGAUGUGGAAAUCAAAGACAUAGAGCACAUUACAUUUGGCAAGCAGCAAAUGAUUCAACAUAGCCAGGAUGAAAAGCACAGGGGAUAUAGGAGGGAAAAGCAGUGGGGCUAGAGGGGUUACUAGGCACCCAAUCAUGAAAGGUCUUGUGGACCCUGAUUAAGAAGUUGUGUUUUUUUUAAUGAUAAUAAGGGUUUAAGCAGGGGAGUAACUUGAUUGGUGUUGCCCUUUCAGAAAGAUGUGUGUCCUCUCUCUGGAUGUGGAGAAGGGAGGGUGAGGGCAAGUCUGAAGGCAGGCAGACAAUUAGGGGUCUGUGGCAGUUACUCAGAAGUUUCAUGGCAACAACCUGAACUGGGCAGGUUCGGAGACCUGAGAGAUGGGUCGUGGUGGCUGAAAAUGGAAGAUUAGGAACAGGGAGUGCCAUUCUUUUAAAUGUGGCUCUCAAGCAGUGGGCAAAGAGGACUUUUGGACAGGCCUGCAGCCACUGAGACCCUUCUCUUUUCCAUUCACUUCUCUUCCUCAGCUAAACCAGUGGUGAAUGGAAGUGUCUGCCCCACAAACAAAUUUCUCAUAAACUCUCUCAGCCAAGAAACCCAUCCAUUGUGCUGAAAUGUCGGCUGUUCGAAGAAUCCUUCCCUACUAAAUGAAAAGGCAGGUGUGGGCUGGCAGCACACAGGCCCACAGCACCCGGAGCCGCAGCAACUGGACCCACAGCAACUGGAUCCGCAGCAGCCACCCCCGCAGCCUCCGCAGCCUCCGCAGCCACCCCCGCAGCCAGAUCCACAGCAGGACGAUCCACAGCAGCCGCCCCCGCAGCCAGAGCCCCCGCAGCCACAGCAGGAGCCGCAGCAGCCACAGCAGGCCGGCUGACAGCAGCACUCUUCACAGCAGUUUUGCUCCUGGGUGCAGCAGGUGAAGCAGUCCCCCGGGCAGCACCCCAUGGUCCCGGCCUGUCAGCUCACAGUCCUGAGUACCUCAACUCAUAAAAACGCCCCACUCCUGCCAACUGCUGUUUGUCCAGAGGGUAAAAAUACAUCUUCGAAAAGACCUGUCAUCAUGGCCAAGCAUCUGCCAGCUGUCAUUAGCCUAGGUUGAAGAUAGAAGGGGGAAGCCGCCACAGCCUCUGGCUCUGGAAUGAGGCGCUCACCUCCCACAUCUUCCCAGGUUGGUGAUGGACCCCAUCUUCCAUGGAUGCUAGUCCUGGAAAGGCAGACCAGCAACAGCCAAAUGCCCUGUUCCCCCUGACACCAGUGGAGGCUGCUGAGAAGGCCUGAUCACGUGGCUUCUCCCAGGUGGAAAUGGCAUCUUCAUCCCGGUUCAUGUGAGCCAGGCAAAUGUUUGUAUCUGUGUGUGGUAUGGGGAGUGUGCCACCCAUUUAGGCUUGGCCCGUGAGCAUCAAUCAUGAGUAAUAACUGCCCUGUGAAAUGGAGAGAGACUCAUCGUAAAGCUGCAAGAAGCUGGUGAGGCACAGUCUGUCUUGGCUACAUGGUGAGCUGAAUACUCACACUUCUCUCUAAAUAGGUGCGAAGAAACUGAAAUCAGAACCCUCUACCCACCACCACUCCAGCCCCAGGUCUGUCCUUGAUGGGGAAAGGAAGAGAUGCAGGAAGAGGAAGAAGAGGAGAGGAAGAAAGGAAAGAAGAAAAGAAGGAAGCAAGCAGGAAGGAGAUCAGUAAAUAUCCAAAACCCUACAUUAAAAUGGGAAUGUUAGGCACUUUUUGUAAAGAGCUCCAACCUUAUAGACCAUCUGGCAGAAGGAGAAAUUAGAGUACAAAAUACCCAGAGUGUCAUCCCAAGGAAUAAAAUGCCUUUGGAAGGAAUCAAAAAUCUAUAGAUGGUUCAGGUCCAUGUGUAAAUUCUGAGAUGGGUCAAAAUUUCUGUCUCUUUCUUGGACUUUGGUACCUUGUCUCCUCUUUGAGUGCCCAUGGCAGCUCUGGAGCUGGAAUACAACAUGUAGUAGGGAUGGAGGACAGAAGAUAGGGGUGGGGUGGAAAUGGAAGGAGGGAUGGGAGUAAGGAUCUGGAUCAAGGGAUCCAGUCCUUCCCUUUUCAUUUCCCUUUCUUUUUCAGAUGGGCUAGAAGUAAGACAGCCUCUAAGAAGGGCUAGAAGGACUAAGGACAGGGUGGGGGUCCAGAGGCUGAAUGAUGAAUGGGUUACUUGGAUCUGAUAUGAUACUCAGUACUUCACAGGAUAUGAAAUUUUAGAGCUGGGAGGAACCCCUGAAACAUCAUCUGGUCCAGGGUUUUAUGUCAGAAUUGCCUAAAAGGGAGCCUUUUGAAAAAUACAGAUUCCCAAACUGUAUCCCAGUCCUUAUGAUAAAUCAAAAUGUGUGCUUAUGAGAACUUGAGAAGCUAUAUAUUUUAAACUUUCUCAGGUAACUCAGGUUACAUUGGGAAACACUGAUAUAAUCUAAUCCCAUUAUGACCAUCACCGCCAAGCACUUGUGUUUUACAGAAGAUGAUACCAAGGCCCAGAGACGACACAUCCAUGGUAAAUUGGACCCAUGGCCCAGAUGUCCACCCUGCUGGUCCAGUGUUUCUUCCACGAUACCACGUCCACAGAUGGGCACCUCUGAGUGAGUGAGCAUAAUACAGCAAUGUCUAUGGCAGACACGUCCUUUUUAUUGUUUUUUGUUGUUGUUGUUGUUGUUUUUUGAG